rnacentral:rRNA from 1 species
GAUGAACGCUAGCGAUAGGCUUAACACAUGCAAGUCGAGGGGCAGCAUGGUCUUAGCUUGCUAAGGCUGAUGGCGACCGGCGCACGGGUGCGUAACGCGUAUGCAACUUGCCUCACAGAGGGGGAUAACCCGUCGAAAGACGGACUAAUACCGCGUACACUCUAUGUUGGGCAUCCAAUGUAGAGGAAAUGAAAUUCGCUGUGAGAUAGGCAUGCGUCCCAUUAGCUAGUUGGUGAGGUAACGGCUCACCAAGGCGACGAUGGGUAGGGGAACUGAGAGGUUGACCCCCCACACUGGUACUGAGACACGGACCAGACUCCUACGGGAGGCAGCAGUGAGGAAGAUUGGUCAAUGGGCGAGAGCCUGAACCAGCCAAGUCGCGUGAAGGAUGACUGUCUUAUGGAUUGUAAACUUCUUUUAUACGGGAAUAACAAGAGUCACGUGUGGCUCCCUGCAUGUACCGUAUGAAUAAGCAUCGGCUAACUCCGUG